rnacentral:rRNA from 11 species
GGAGGGCGCUUACCACUUUGUGAUUCAUGACUGGGGUGAAGUCGUAACAAGGUAACCGUAGGGGAACCUGCGGUUGGAUCACCUCCUUACCUUAAAGAAGC